CCUACGGGAGGCAGCAGUGGGGAAUUUUGGACAAUGGGCGAAAGCCUGAUCCAGCCAUGCCGCGUGCAGGAUGAAGGCCUUCGGGUUGUAAACUGCUUUUGUACGGAACGAAAAGGUCUUUUCUAAUAAAGAAGGCUCAUGACGGUACCGUAAGAAUAAGCACCGGCUAACUACGUGCCAGCAGCCGCGGUAAUACGUAGGGUGCGAGCGUUAAUCGGAAUUACUGGGCGUAAAGCGUGCGCAGGCGGUUAUAUAAGACAGUUGUGAAAUUCCCGGGCUCAACCUGGGAACUGCAUCUGUGACUGUAUAGCUAGAGUACGGUAGAGGGGGAUGGAAUUCCGCGUGUAGCAGUGAAAUGCGUAGAUAUGCGGAGGAACACCGAUGGCGAAGGCAAUCCCCUGGACCUGUACUGACGCUCAUGCACGAAAGCGUGGGGAGCAAACAGGAUUAGAUACCCUGGUAGUCCACGCCCUAAACGAUGUCAACUGGUUGUUGGGUCUUCACUGACUCAGUAACGAAGCUAACGCGUGAAGUUGACCGCCUGGGGAGUAACGGCCGCAAGGUUGAAACUUCAAAGGAAUUGAGG
rnacentral:rRNA from 1 species